CCUACGGGAGGCAGCAGUGAGGAAUAUUGGUCAAUGGGCGAGAGCCUGAACCAGCCAAGUCGCGUGAGGGAAGACGGUCCUACGGAUUGUAAACCUCUUUUGUCAGGGAGCAAGGAGCGCCACGAGUGGUGCGGCGAGAGUACCUGAAGAAAAAGCAUCGGCUAACUCCGUGCCAGCAGCCGCGGUAAAACGGAGGAGGCGAGCGUUAUCCGGAUUGAUUGGGUUUAAAGGGUGCGCAGGCGGAAGCGGCAAGUCAGCGGUAAAAGCCCGGGGCUCAACCACGGCCCGCCGUUGAAACUGGCAGUCUCGAGUUGGAGAGAAGUAUGCGGAAUGCGCGGUGUAGCGGUGAAAUGCAUAGAUAUCGCGCAGAACUCCAAUUGCGAAGGCAGCAUGCCGGCUCCACACUGACGCUGAGGCACGAAAGCGUGGGUAUCGAACAGGAUUAGAUACCCCAGUAGUC
rnacentral:rRNA from 1 species